UAGUUGGUGUUCGUGUUAUGUCAGUUAAUAGUUACUAAUACCAAGCAAAUAAAUGGAGCAACAGUGAUUGAAUGUGCUUGUAUUGUAGAGUGAAGUGUCUCUGCAAAAUGUUUAUCAUCACUUCAAAUUCCACUCCCACUUGGUUGUUUUCUUACUCAGUUCCAUCUUUGUCUCCGUCUUCUCCGUAUUCCUCCAUCAAAAUCGUUAAAAGCUUGACGCUUUUGGACAUAGUUGACGCCCCUUUUGCUGUUCGAGAAUUUGGGAGGAAAAGAAGAAGAAGAAAAUGGGGAGCAAUUGAUGGAAGUGGCGAGAAGCAAUCGGUUACAGUAGCAUCACCAACAACCGAAAAUUUUGAUGAUGAUGAUAGCACUGUUGAUUCAGCUUCAGCCGUGGUGAGGAAUUUCUAUGAAGGAAUCAAUGCGCAUGACGUGGAUUCUGUUCAGUAUCUUAUCGCCGACAAUUGUGUGUACGAGGAUCUUGUCUUUCCCCAACCCUUCGUGGGUCGUAAGGAAAUUCUUGAGUUCUUCAAAAAAUUCACCAAUUCUACAAGCAAAGAUCUGCAGUUUGUUAUUGAUGAUUUGUCUACCAAGGACCCCUCAUCCGUUGGGGUGAUAUGGCAUUUAGAAUGGAAGGGAAAACCUUUUCCCUUUAGCAAAGGGUGCAGCUUUUAUCGUCUGGAGGUGAUCAAUGGCAGAAGACAAAUAACAUAUGGGCGAGACUGUGUUGAACCUGCAAUCAAACCUGGGGAUGCAACUUUGGUACGUGAAUUUGACUCUAUCAUGUGAAUUGACAAAGAAAAGAAAGUAUGAAUAAAGAGAAAAUGGAAGAGAAAAUAAAAGAAAAGGAAGAUGAAAAAAGCCUAUUGGGUCUCCUGAGGAACAGCGAUAAGGAGUGUGACAUGGCUUCUGCAGCAAUUUCCUCAGUUGGCAAAGUGGUUUUAAUGAAAAUUUCUACACUGUUUUGGAACUGCAAUGUUCCUCCUUUCUCCUUACACAAUUUGUUAUAUAUAUAUCAUCUUAGAGAAUCAUUCAAUUUGAGAGAAGUUCUAUGGUGUACUUUUGUAAGUUUGAGGUUUUGGAAUAGUUAAUUUCUAGAGAUAUAUGAUGAGAGCACUGCGUGCGAUUAAUGGAAUCAUUGAUUUGAUUCAACUUCAGUCCUUUCAUCAUCAUAAAAUGUUUGAUGUCACUUUUACAUUUAA